rnacentral:rRNA from 1 species
AAGGAUCAUUAUUGAAGUUGCUGAGGGGUUGCUGCUGGCUUUCCGGAGCAUUGUGCACGCCUCUCUCGCUUUAUUCAUCCACCUGUGCACGAACUGUAGAUCUCAGAUACUUCUCAGCCUUCGGGUUGGCUCUGGAUGGUUGCUUGCACCCCCUAGGGGGCCGUGGCUGCCGUUCAACUUCCGAGAUCUAUGUCUUCUCACACAAACUACUCCAUAAUGUCAUAGAAUGAUUCAUGGUCGCACACGACCUUAAAUUGUAUAAUACAACUUUCAACAACGGAUCUCUUGGCUCUCGCAUCGAUGAAGAACGCAGCGAAAUGCGAUAAGUAAUGUGAAUUGCAGAUUUCAGUGAAUCAUCGAAUCUUUGAACGCACCUUGCGCUCCUUGGCAUUCCGAGGAGCAUGCCUGUUUGAGUGUCAUUAAAUUCUCAACUUCCGACGGUUUUAUUAUCGUCCGGAGGCUUGGAUUGGUGAGGGUUGCCGGCUCCUAAUGUGUGUCGUCGGCUCCCUUUAAAUGCAUUAGCGCUGUCUCAUGUCCGUGUCAGCGCCCCCUCGGUAUGAUAGUUUAUCUAUGCCGUGUCCGGGGCCUCGGAAAUUCCGACUUCGCUUCUGGCGGUCCCAUCUUUGGGACAAAGCUUUCUAUAUCUUGACUUGACCUCAAAUCAGGUAGGACUACCCGCUGAACUUAA